CAAAUUUCAAAAUUCAAACACACACCCUUGGCUCAACGAAGACGUCCCAUUGCAAAUACCAUCUCUCUCUCUCUCUCUCUCUCUCUCUCUCUCUACGCCGACCCACCAAUCUCACUGCUCUCUCACCACACCCACCCACCAAGCUCGAUCGAGUUGUGUUACGGCUCGAAUGGCGGCGAUUGGGUUCCUUCCCGGAUUGUCCACAACCGAGUCGAAUCAACUCGCAAUUGAAGGGCUACUUUCGUCUUGGUUCGAAAAUCACAGAUGAUACAAAUGGCAUACAUACAAUCGGUGCAAGGAAGAUUAUUAUAGACUAAACAAAAGGGAGAUGGGUUGUCUGAUGCUUCAUCAGUGUGAAGCUUCAUCCAGAGUUAUACAGCCUUUGCUAUAUUUAGAAGCAGGGGAAAAAGAUUCUACGUGUUGCUAUGUUUAGGUUCUUGAGUUGUUAUGUACAAAUGUGUGUGAUUUUUUGUUGUUGUACCUCUUUACUUAUAUUCUAUCCAAGGAAAACAAACAUUCAAAUUGAUUUUUUCAAAUGGUUUGCGCUUUUCUGGCUUCUCCGGCCAAAUGGUGAUCUCAGAAGUUCAAGUGCUUCUUUUGCGCACUUCAAUAUAUUGGUGUUGGAUAGGGGAACGUAAUGCUGUGAUUCGUAGUGAUAAGGCUCCAACUAGGCCAUGCCUUUGUUUUCCGUAAAAUACGUUCCGAGCAUUUGUAAAAUUGUAGCAAAAUUGUAGCAUAUUUGAUGUUUAAGUUGUGUUCAAAGUAUAUAAGGAAAACAAAGAAGCAGCCUUGGCUAGGCUACGAAAGAGUAAAUAAAAGGGUCAUUAACGAAACGCAUCCAAAGUCCUUUUGGACUU